CAUGAGAAGAAAGAACUCAUAUUUUCAGUGACCUCUAAGAAUCUCUAAUAUUUUGGGAAGGUUCUGCUUGAAACAAUGAUUGAUAUUAGAGAUAAUGCAUGUUUGAUUUGCCCUGGGAGCAGGAAAUCCUUUUUAAAGCCCAGUUCCUCGAGGAUAUCUGGCUUAAAGUGCAUGAAUCGCUGCUUCUGAGAAAACGCACUGUGUGCAGAAUCCUUUGUCAUGGGAGAAACACAGGAAGCACAAUACUGCAACAUCUGCAACUGCUCUGCCCUGCUGGGAUUGAACUCUAAUUUUCUACAUAAUAACGGAGAUGAAUAUCCCGUAAAGAUGCAAAUGUAGGACAGGUCUUCACAGAAAACAGUUUUCAAGUACAAUGAUGGGAUACAGAUCAGAAUUUGGACCAUAAACAAGAUCUCACAGCCUCUACAACAAAACUCUGCAUCUGAAAGUGAAGAGGGAAUUAAUUCUGUAUGGAUGAUGAAAGAAGAGAACAGGAGCAGAGGAGAUGGUUAUAGAAAAAAUAAGAGACAGCAACAACAUCUCUGUAUACCAAAUACAAAUUCUCAAGAGAAGGAUGGAAAUAACAGAGAGAAGCUGUGGCCUCCCUUCCCUGAUUACCAGAACUGAGGAGAAUCAUACAGAAACAGCUGUGUAAU